AUUUAAAUAGCUUAUAAUUAGAGCAUAAUAUUGAAGAUAUUAAGGAAGCAAUAUUGCUUUUAAAUA
rnacentral:tRNA from 1 species